rnacentral:rRNA from 1 species
AUAUUACUAAGCGGAGGAAAAGAAACUAACCAGGAUUCCCCUAGUAACUGCGAGUGAAGCGGGAAGAGCUCAAAUUUAAAAUCUCCUGGGGCUUCGGCACUCAGGCGAAUUGUAGUUUAUGGAAGCAUUUUCGGCUGCAGCCUUGGUUUAAGUUCCCUUGGAAUAGGGCGCCAGAGAGGGUGAGAGCCCCGUAAAGCCUUGGAAUUCACUGCUGGCUAUGUGAUAUGUUUUCUAAGAGUCGGGUUGUUUGAGAAUGCAGCCCAUG